GCUUUUACCCCCUCCCCCCUUCCGAACAUUGUUCGGAUUGUGAAGCACAUCGAUAUUUAUGGACCGUCCCUAACGCCAGUGACUGGGUCCAGGGCACGGCGUAAGAAGGAGCCAAAAAGUGGGGUGGGGGUGUAUAAAAACCAUCGCUGCUGCCCGCCCCCCCACCCCCACCCCUCAACCUCCAUUUAACACACACACACUAAAAAUAAUCCAUAAAUGCUGAAAACAUACUUAAGAAAAUAGGCCAUGAUGUCCUUACGUUUUUGUGGAUACGGUCAUAUGACAGAAUGGGAUUUCCCUCCACAUUUUUUAUUCUAUAAUUAAAUGGGUCAUUUGGUCAAUCUUGUUAUUACAAUCAUGUUUAUUAUUUUUUUUAUUAUUGUUAAAUAUAGAAUUUAGAACAAAAAUAAUAUAAAGAUUAAAUUUUUAAAAACCUAAAUGAUUUGGUUUGAACAUUUAUUUAUUUAAUUAUUUGUAAUUUAUUUAAUUAUUUGUAUUUCAAAUAAUUUAACACUGAACAUUUCAUCCCUUUUCCUAAAGCUUUGAUUGUAUUGUUCUGAAACGUAAUACACAUAUUCUCUUGGUAGUCUCCACAAAAUAAUAAAGAUGUCUAAACUUGUAAAAACAUUGUUUUGUUGUUGUUUUUGUUUGGGUUUUUUUUAAUUAAUGAGAUUGUAAAAUUGAAAUAGAAAUCUUGAUUGGUUAAUUCUGAAACUUAGAACAUGUAUUCUACAGUGAUUCUCUGGAGAUACAUAUCUACUUUUAUUAUAGAUUAUUUUAUUUUAUUUCUUUAAUGUUAAGACUUUAACAUAACUGUCCAGCCAUUCAAAUAUAAUUUUCUUUCAGUCAUACUCCAUCUGCUCAGAUGGUCCGAAACCAGUGGACUUUGAUCCAUUACCUGCUGUAAUGAGAUGGAACAGCAGCAGUGUUUGUUCAAGGAGACCAGAUACGUCAUAAUCUCUCUCCACCAAAGUUGUCUUUAAGGACACCACAAAAAAAUUAAAAUACUGUUUUGUUUAAUGACACCACUACAAUACUUUUGAUGUAUUGAUGAAUGACCAAUUUAACAGAAUUACAGAUAAACGUUUUUUUCUGGUUAAAUUGACAUCCUAAAAAAGACUGCCUUGGUGCCCUUUGAAAAUGUAUGAACGUAGCCUUUGUGCCUUUUAGGUUAGCCUUGGUGCCCUUCAUUUCCUAGAUUUUUAAAGGCUAUUAUAGCCUGCCCUUUUAACACCGAAUUUCGAGGCCUGAUACAGGACUGAUAAUAAUAAAUUUCAAUUAAUUAUAUAUAUAUUCUUCAGCUUGUUUCAUCAGGUCCUAUUACUGGCUUUGCCAAUUGCCAAUUUGGCUGCUCUUUGCAGUGUCGGCAUGGUAUAGGUUCACGUUCCUGUAUGGAUUUGCUGAUUUGCACCCAGUUGUCUUGUUUUUUGCAUCCAGUUUUGCGUGGAUAUGAUUUUCACUUGUAAAGUAGAUACACAUAUAUUCAUAGUCUUGGCGUUAGUUAUUCAUCCAUUGAUUUAUUUUGUCAUUAGAUACAUAUGGAUAUAGACAAUGAUGUGAAAAAAAAGAAAAAUAAUAAUAAUAAUAAUUAAAAAAAAGAAAAAAAUAAUAAAAAAGAAAAUAAAAAAAGAUAAAAGAAAAAAAAGAAAAAAAAAGAUAAUAAUAAAUAAUGAUCAAUUUUUGUGCUGGUUCCCUCUCUUGGAUUUUUAUUACAGAUAUAAUGCUGCCAAAGCGAACAGCAGCUUUGGCAAACAGAGCUGUCCAAAGUAAAGCAGCUAAAAGAGCCAAAGCUCCCAGGACGACUUUGUCGGAAGAGACGCCCAGCGGCUCAACACAGGAAUCUGCACCAGUCACGCUAGCUAUGUCGCCGCAGGAACUGAAGACACUCAUUCAAGAAGCCUUUAGCCAAGGAGUUUCAGCAGCCAAACAACAGCUGCAGGGAGCAGCAGACCUGUCAACCUUUAGUCAAGAGAAAGCAGGAGGUGAAAGGAGAUUUGAUCAAAUACCGGGAGACUCCCGCGGAAUCCGGGAGGGUUGACAGGUCUGGGGAGCAGUGCCAGUAGCAUCAGAAGCUGCCAUAGAAGCUGCUGCCAUAGAAGUAUUGGAGCCAGGCCCACCACCCACACAGGAAGCUGCACAAGCAGAACCGUAUAUUAUUAGUGACAAUCUCUACUAUGAAGCUAAGGGCAAACACCAGCUGGUAUGCCAUUCCAAAGAAGAGCGUGUAUCUGCCCUGCAGCACUGCCAUGAUGAACUAGGAACUGGUCGACAUUGGGUCAGGAACAAAACACUGGAUAAGUUACAAGAAUCCUAUUACUGGCUGGGGAUAUGUUGGAAAGAUGCAUACCCGGACCACCAACACAUACUGACACUUUAAAAAAAUGAAAAAUGCACCGUUUUUGAGUUAAUAAAAAAACAUGAAUAAUG
rnacentral:lncRNA from 1 species